GACGAACGCUGGCGGCGUGCUUAACACAUGCAAGUCGAACGGUGAAGCGCCUUCCUUUUUGGUGGGUGUGGAUGAGUGGCGAACGGGUGAGUAACACGUGAGUAACCUGCCCCCUUCUUCUGGAUAACCGCAUGAAAGUGUGGCUAAUACGGGAUAUUCUGGGUCUGUCGCAUGAUGGGUCUGGGAAAGAUAUUGUUUCGGUGGGGGAUGGUCUCGCGGCCUAUCAGCUUGUUGGUGGGGUGAUGGCCUACCAAGGCGGUGACGGGUAGCCGGCCUGAGAGGGUGGAAGGGCAGACUGGGGAGGAGACACGGCCCAGACUCGUACGGGAGGCAGCAGUGGGGAAUAGGGGACAAUGGGCGCAAGCCUGAUGCAGCGACGCCGCGUGAGGGAUGGAGGCCUUCGGGUUGUGAACCUCUUUCGCCAGUGAAGCAGGCCUGCCUCGUUUGUGGGUGGGUUGACGGUAGCUGGAUAAGAAGCGCCGGCUAACUACGUG
rnacentral:rRNA from 1 species